CAGGGUCAGAUGAUGAUUUAAUGCAUAGUUCAAAUGAUAAUAUAUGAUUAAACAUUUGAAAGUCUUUCGCUCCUAUCUGAUGACUCUG